rnacentral:lncRNA from 1 species
GAGGGAGCCCUUGAGAACAGGAUUAGUGCUCUCAUAAAGCAGAAGCCAGAGAGCUUGCUUGCUUUCCUUCCACGCUGUAAGGACACAAUGAGAAGCUGGCAGUCUUCAACCUGAACCAACCAUGCUGGCACCCUGAUCUUUAACUUCUAGCUUCCAGAACUGUGAGAAAUACAUUUCUGUUGUUUAUAAGCCAUCUAGUCUAUGGUAAUUUGUUACAGCAACUCAAAGUGACUAAGAUGCUCAAGAAGAAAUAAAGGAUACACAAGAAACUGAUAACAUUAGUUAACUGCACUGAGAAGAAUUAUGCAGCUGAGGGGCAGAGCCAGGAACCCUAAGACAGUGAAGGAAAAUCUCUUCCUCCCCUAGAGCUUCUGGUACCCAAUGAAGGGCCACAUCAGCUGGGGACACCUUGCUCAGUCCAGAAGCUGCUGUUCAAAGAUCCUGGACUUCCCAUCUGACAAAAGCCAGCAGAAGGGAGAACGGACUUGCCUUGUCUUAGAUGAGACUUUGGAAAGUGGACUUCAGAGUUAAUGCUGAAAUGUGUCAAGACUUGGGCGACUGUUAAGGAGGGAUGAUUGUAUUUUGCAAUGUGAGAAGGACAUGAGAUUUGGGAGGUGCCAGAGGUGGAAUGAUAUGGUUUAGAUUUGUGUUCCCACCCAAAUCUCAUGUCAAAUUGUAAUCCUCAGUGUGGGAGGAGGAGCCUGGUAGGAGGUGAUUGGAUCAUGAGAUGCAUUUCCCUCCUGCUGUUCCUGUGAUAGUGAGUUCUCAUGAGAUUUGAUUAUUUAAGUGUGUAGCACCUCCCUCUGUGCUCCCUUCCUCCUGCUCUGGCUGGGCAAAAUGUGCCUGCUUCCUUUCUACCAUGAUUGAAAGUUUCCUGAGGCCUCCUCAGCUAUGCUUCAUGUACGGCCUGUGGAACCAUGAGCCAAUUAAACAUCUUUCUUUAUAAAUUACCCAGUUUCAAGCAUUUACUUAUAGCAGUGCAAGAAUGGACUAAUACAAUAAUAAAUGUAAAUAUGCCCAGAAGAAAAAUGAAAAGGUGUUAGCAAUGUAUCUCAAUAUGCUUACAGGCCAAUAUUUUUUUCAUGUCUUAAAAAAGGUGAGUUUGUCCCUCCAUACACAGGGUCUAACAAUCUCCAUCCUUUCGUCCUUCCUUUCUUCCAGGGGGAGGGAGGAGGAGUACACCUCUUUCAUACAGCCUCAGCCCCUCUCCUUCUUGCCAUCCUACA